GGUCACGUAGUGCAGCGGCCAAGCACACCGCGCUGGAGCAUGGUUCGAGUCCAUCCGUCCUUGAGGCGGUAAACGGCCCCUCUCGCGGCAACGCAGGUUCGAAUCCUGUCGUGAUCA
rnacentral:tRNA from 1 species